UACGGGGGGGGCAAGCGUUGUUCGGAAUUACUGGGCGUAAAGGGCUCGUAGGCGGCCAACUAAGUCAGACGUGAAAUCCCCAGGCUCAACCUGGGAACUGCGUCUGAUACUGGAUGGCUUGAAUCUGGGAGAGGGAUGCAGAAUUCCAGGUGUAGCGGUGAAGUGCGUAGAUAUCUGGAGGAAUACCGGUGGCGAAGGCGGCAUCCUGGACCGGCAUUGACGCUGAGGAGCGAAAGCCAGGGGAGCAAACGGG
rnacentral:rRNA from 1 species